ACUCCUACGGGAGGCAGCAGUGAGGAAUAUUGGUCAAUGGGAGCAAUCCUGAACCAGCAAUGCCGCGUGUGGGAUGACGGGGCUCAGCCCUGUAAACCACUGUCGGACGGGACGAAAGGAGCCUUCAGGGCUCUGGGACGGUACCGUCAAAGGAAGGGUCGGCUAACUACGUGCCAGCAGCCGCGGUAAUACGUAGGACCCGAGCGUUGUCCGGAAUUACUGGGUAUAAAGGGUGCGCAGGCGGCCGUGUGCGUCAGAGGUGAAAUCUCCGGGCUUAACCCGGAGGGUGCCUUUGAUACGGCAUGGCUUGAGUCCGAGAGAGGGUGAUGGAAUUCCUGGUGUAGCAGUGAAAUGCGUAGAUAUCAGGAGGAACACCGGUGGCGAAGGCGGUCACCUGGCUCGGCACUGACGCUUAGGCACGAAAGCGUGGGGAUCAAACAGGAUUAGAUACCCUGGUAGUC
rnacentral:rRNA from 1 species